AUUGAACGCUGGCGGCAGGCUUAACACAUGCAAGUCGAGCGGGGGAGGUUGCUUCGGUAACUGACCUAGCGGCGGACGGGUGAGUAAUGCUUAGGAAUCUGCCUAUUAGUGGGGGACAACAUUCCGAAAGGGCUGCUAAUACCGCAUACGCCAUACGGGGGAAAGCAGGGGAUCUUCGGACCUUGCGCUAAUAGAUGAGCCUAGGUGGGAUUAGCUAGUUGGUGGGGUAUAGGCCUACCAAGGCGACGAUCUGUAGCGGGUCUGAGAGGAUGAGCCGCCACAGGGGGACUGAGGGGCGGCCCGGACUCCGACGGGAGGCAGCAGUGGAGAAUAUUGGACGAGGGGGGGAAGCCUGAGCGAGCCAUGCCGCGUGUGUGAAGCAGGGCUUUGGGUGGUAAAGCACGUUGAGCGAGGAGGAGGCUACGAGUACUAAUACUACUGGAUAGUGGACGUUGCUCGGAGAAUAAGCACCGGCUAACUCGGUGCCAGCCGCCGCAGUAAAAC
rnacentral:rRNA from 1 species